UUCAACUAAUAAUUUAUCCCAGUACCUUGAUAAGGAGAUUAUUGCAGUUACCCUGUCAUGGCGGAUAAAUUAUUAAAAAGAAGACGUUUUGGAGUUCAAAGACUAAAGAAGAGUUGCAGAAUUUCAACAAGGUUUUGAGCUAUAGGGGCAGCGCAUAGGAGUUUUACCUUAAGGGUAGUUGAAUGCUAUAGAUGAUAGCAAAUAUAGGCUGAGCAUCGGAAAGCUGAGACAGAGACCCAGAGUUUGGUAAUCUACUGAGAUAGUAAGAGAGUUCCAGCUUAUAGGCGGUUCAGCAUUACCGGCGAAGUACAGCCAAGGCAUCGGGGAUAUACCUAUAUGGUAGUUGAAUGCUAUAUAUGAUAGCAUAUAGGCGCUGAGCAUCCAAGAGUCAGGGCAAUCAUAUAGAGUUUGAGAGGACAGAGGCCGAGCAUCUAUGCGAUAGGACUCGUAUGUUGUUGAUUCAAAGACAUUGUCUGACGGGAACUUCAACAAAAAGACCAGUCAAGUAUAGAGUCUCCAGCCUAUAGGAGUUUGAACUAAUUGAAAAUUGUUAGUUUGAAACAUUUAGUGAUUUGCCUGAUCCCUGAAAUUGUCUAGCUCAUAAUUAAAAUCAUUUACGAAUCAUUGGUACACGAAUCAUUUAGGCAAAGUAGCCAGAGGAAAAUUCUAUAUAUGUGACGCACCAUGACAUUUUGGGUCCAAAUUCGGCGUUACGUCAUUUGAGAAAACAUCGAUUAAAGUUACGUCACAAAAAAAUGGUGGACGUUACCACGUGUUCGCGGCAAUUAAUGCAUUUCUUGUUUUCAAUAAUACUCUACCUUGUCACAAGAAAAAAAUGAAGUGACAUUUAUAAACAUUUCCGUGUUUUGCAAUUCCGUUUCUUUAAAAAAUUUAAAUGAUUGAUAAUUUAUCGCCCUUUGAAUCGACACGCCAUUUGUAAACAUCGAAAGUCGUGGAGAAAAUGAAACUAUGAUACCAAAAACAAUUAUUUGAUGAUUUAUUUCGAUUGUAUAAAGAAUGACAGUUAGCGAAUCUCAAGAUCAACCACUGAGGAUUGUUUGGCUUGAUGCAAUGAUGUUAAACAGUGAAAUGAUUUUCCAGGAAGGUCUAUACACAACAACCUGGAUUUUAUGGGGUGAUGAAAGAACUAUGAAUAUGUAAAUGGGAAUGAAACAGAAGGAAUUAAUAUGUUCUACUGAUCAUCCAGCUGAAAUCAUGCCUGUGGAAUAGAGUGCAUGUCACAAAUACUGAUAUGAGCAAUAACUCCAUAUUGCACAAAUAAGGUCAUGUUUCCUGCCCUCAUGACCUGAAAAAGUGAAAAUUUCUAGUUCAAAUUACAAAUGUGUUUCAAGAAAAAGUAAAACUUAGUCAAUUGUGAGAAAUAUUGGGUAAAAGUAGUGUUUUGAUGUCAUGACAGCUGUGAAGUUGUUUGAGAAGCACUAUCCUAAUUGUUCUAACAAUACAGCAUUUAACUUAUAAAUUUUCCAAAACUGCAUGCAUGAAAUACUAAGACAUGUCUGUUGAAUGAAUCCUAGUUGUUUCAAAACUACAACAUGUGUGACAUUAAAGCACACCCUUUGGAGGAAACAUUUUUACAAUAAAAACUGCCUUGCCAGUGUGAUUGUAAGAAGGAUUUUUCCAGAAAUGGCAGAAAACUACCAGUAUAGCAGAAAAUAUUUGUUACUGGCUGAAUGUAAUAUAUCUUAUUUCAAGAAUUAAUCAUGUUAAACCAUGGUUAUAAUUGUGUUAAAAGAUAUUUUUACAUGACAUGACCUUUGCAGAAAUAGCUAAUUGUUUUUGCAAAACAUUGUGAGUUGCCACGGUAGCACAAAUUUGACUUAAAUUUGGAUUUGUUUGAUUAUGUAAACAUCAUGUGUCUUGUUUAUAUUCUGCUAAUCAGACUAUGUUCUGCAAGAAAAGAUCUUUUAUGUGUAACCAUCAACAAAACAUGUUAUAACACAAAUCUGUCAUAAAAUGACAGAGCUGUAAUGCAGGUAGGCAUAUCAGGAAGAUAUGUAGUUCUCAAAGACAAGUUAUAUUACAUAAAAUGAUGUUUGUUUUUUAUAAAUGAUCAUAAUUGACUAUUUGUGGUGUAAAACAAAUGUAUACUGAACAGAUGCUAAAUGAAUGUUCUGAUUCUUUCUGGAAAAUUUACAAAAAACUACUAUUUUAAGAAAAUAAUGCAUUGUUGCCAUGGUAACAUUAAUUUAACUUUUAAAUUAUUUUGGAUAUCAUCAUAUGUAAACAACAUCUUUCUUGUUUAUAUGUUAUAUAUGUUAAGCUGUGUUAUGUUAGUUAAUAUAUAUUCAUAUGUAAUAAUUGCAUCAACAAAGCACUAUGUUAUUACACAAGCCUGCCUUAAAAUGGCAAUAGUUGUAACUGAGAGAGGUGUAUCUGAAAAUUAUGUAAUUCUCAAACCAUAUUACAUUACUUUUCAUGGAAUGAUGUCUACUCUCUUACUUUUAAAUAAGAAAACAGACAGCUUUUGAUGUAAAUAUAUGGAAAAGCACUUCCAAUAUUCAAUUUAUUACAAAGAAAUUGCCAAAAAUGUUAGUAUUUUUGUAAGAAAAUACCACAUUGUUGCCAUGGUAAUAUUAGUAUUUUUGUAAGAAAAUACCACAUCGUUGCCAUGGUAAUGAUUCACUGAUCAGUAUAUCUAAGUCUUUUGAAAUUUUAGCAAACUCACAGUUGAUAAUAACAGUCUAAUAAUUAUAUCUUCUUGCCUGAUUUUCUUUCUUACUGUUUAAUAGAUAAGGUGUCUAUAACAAUAAGAUUAAUGUCCUAGUUUUUGGGAUGUUGUCUAAUUUGAUAUCAAAUAAAUUCUGUAUCUUGUUCAAAAGAAUGUCAUAAAACAGUUGUCUGUAAACUGUUUGCACACUAGAAAAAGUUAAUUGUGUAUUUAUUUCACAUUCUAUGUAAUUUAUUGCUAGAUUCAUCAAGAGACUGUUAAAAAAGAGGUUAAACAACAGUGUUCCUAUAGAAACGAAUUUUAGAACAUAAAUAUUUUUAUACUACAUGAAAGAAAGAGACAAAAAGAAAUACAUUCCAUAAAUUGCAUGUUGCUUUUGUUAUUUUAUCAUGUAUUUUAUCUUGAUAUUAUUUAAAUAUGGUGU